UUGAACGCUGGCGGCAUGCCUUACACAUGCAAGUCGAACGGUAGAGGGGCAACCCUUGAGAGUGGCGAACGGGUGAGUAAUAUAUCGGAACGUGCCCAGUCGUGGGGGAUAACGCAGCGAAAGCUGCGCUAAUACCGCAUACGAUCUAAGGAUGAAAGCGGGGGAUCGCAAGACCUCGCGCGAUUGGGGCGGCCGAUAUCAGAUUAGGUAGUUGGUGGGGUAAAAGC
rnacentral:rRNA from 1 species